rnacentral:ncRNA from 1 species
AAGGAAAAACAAUAUAUUAAUAAGAACAUGAUGUUGGUUCAGAUUAAAUGCUAAAUAAGGACAUGACACAUGCAAGUUAAACGUUUAUUAUUGAUAAAAUAAUAAAUAUGUAGCGUAAACGUGAGUAAUAAUAUAGAAAUUAAUGAACUAUAAAUUAAAUUAAAUAUUUAAUAUUGUAUAUUAUAUAAUAAUAAUAUAAUAUAUAUAAAGAAUAUAUACUAUUUAAUAAUAUAUAUUUGUUUAUAGUCAAGUCUAUAAUAGUUUAGGUAGUAGGUUAAUUAAUAGUUUAUAACCUAGCCAUCGAUCUAUAGUUAAUAAUGAAAGUUAUAAUAACCACGUUGAUUUUGAAAUAUAAAUCAAUAUCUAUAUGAUACAGCAGUGAGGAAUAUUGGACAAUGAUCGAAAGAUUGAUCCAGUUACUUAUUAGAAUGAUAUAUAAUCUAAUAAUAUAUUUAAUUAUAAAUAUAUUGUAUAUAUAAUAUAUAUAAAUUGAUUAAAAAUAAAGUUCAUAAAUAGUUUAAAUAAUGAUAUAAACUACCUAUAUUUAUAUAUAUAGGAUAUAAUAAAUUAUAUUUAUUAUAUUUUAAUAGUCCUAACCAAUAUUUGUGCCAGCAGCUGCGGUAAUACAAAGAGGGCUAGCAUUAAUCAUAAUGGUUUAAAGGAUACGUAGAAUUAAAUUAUUUAUAAUAAUUUUAGAGUUAAUAAAUAUUAAUUAAAGAAUUAUAAUAGUAAAGAUGAAAUAAUUAUAAUAAUUAUAAGACUGGUAUAUGUGAAAAUAUUAAUUAAUUAUUAACUGACAUUGAGGUAUUAAGACUAGAGUAGCGAAACGGAUUCGAUACCCGUGUAGUUCUAGUAGUAAACUAUGAGUACUAUAUAAUAUAUUUAAUAAUAUAUAUAUUAUAUACAUGAAAAUGUAAGUAUUCCACCUGAAGAGUACGUUAUCAAUAAUGAAACUCAAAACAAUAGACGGUUACAGACUUAAGCAGUGGAACAUGUUAUUUAAUUCGAUAAUCCACGAUUAAUCUUACCAUAUUUUGAAUAUUAUAUUAUAUAUAUAUAUAAUAUAUUACAGGCAUUACAUUGUUGUCUUUAGUUCGUGCUGCAAAGUCUUAGAUUAAGUUCAUUAACGAACAUAACUCCAUAUAUAUUAAAUAAAUAAUAUAUAUUAUUAAUAAUAUAUUUAUAAUAUAUUAUUAUAAAGGAAUUAAGACAAAUCAUAAUGAUCCUUAUAAUAUGGGCUAUAGACGUGUUAUAAUAAAAUGAUAAUAAAAUUAUAUAAAGUAUAUUGUUUUUAAAAUAUAUAUAAUUAAUAAUAUAAAACAUUUUAAUAUUUAAUAUAAUUAUAUAUUAUAAUUAUAAUAUGGAUUAUAAUCUGAAAUUUGAUUAUAUGAAAUAAGAAUUGCUAGUAAUACAUAAAUAAGUAUAUUAUGGUGAAUAUUCUAACUGUUUCGCACUAAUCACUCAUCACGCGUUGAAAUAUAUUAUUAUCUUAAUAUAUAAUAUAUAUAUAUUAUUAUAUAUAAUAUUUUAUAAUAUAUAUAUAAUAUAUAGCUGAAAUAAUAUUAAUUAAUGCGAAGUUGAAAUACAGUUACUGUAGGGGAACCUGCAGUGGGUUUAUAAAUCUCUUUAAUAUUCUU